UUAUCCUAUAUUCUUGCGCAAGAAUCUUUUUGGACGCACAAGUAGUUCUAUAGAGUUUACUACAUCCUUUGAUGUUUUAAUCCAUGAAAUACAGACCUGUAUCUAUUUGUUUUGGACUGUGUUCCGGAGAAAGAAAUGUAGUUUGGUUAUGUGGUUUUACAGACCUGUAUCUAUUUGUGUAAUGCAUUUGCCUGUAUAUGUGCAGCUUAUGUCCAUAAUUCUUCAAGUCUACAUAUGACUGCAUCAUUCUUCAGCCUUCUAGACUCCUUCCACUUCUGCCCCCUCGGAUACAAGGACUUCCCAGACUUAGGUAACACAACCUCUUCUCUUCUUUCAACAUGUUGUCAUGUGGUGCUUGAGUUAUGGUACAACUAGAGUUGGGUGAAAGCGACAUGGAGCCUUGAAGUGGAGAGUUGAGCUCAUGAAGCAGGACAAGAGAGCCAAGGUGUUGUGCCUUCAUGGCUUCUGCACGAGCGAGAGUUUUUUGAAGAGUAGAUCAACAACUUGCACUCUUCCACUCGUUAUGGAUAUGGGUAUUGCGAUGAGGCCUCAUGAGCUAUUUGAAAACAUUUAUGUAUAGUUGUAUACUAAUUUAUGUUUUAUAGUUGAGGCUAUCUAAUAUAUUGAAA